CCCAUCAAUCGCUCAGUAGUCAGUGUAGAUUCUGUCUUUAUAAUCAGCAGCUACAUCUGGCUACUGGGUCUCUGAUGACAUCU
rfam:Acanthisitta chloris contig27488, whole genome shotgun sequence.